GAAACAUGAACUCUGAACUUUACUUGCACAGCUUGUAGAAAUACAUCACAUUUCUGUGGUGCAGCAGAGUGGGAGGCAGAAAAUAUGAAUCUUAUUAGCAGUUUGGCCAAUGUCUUCCUACGUGAACAUGGCUACAGGUUCCUGAGAGACUACAUGUGAGGAUCACACUGA